CAGUCGCCGCGGUAAUACGAAGGGGGCUAGCGUUGCUCGGAAUUACUGGGCGUAAAGGGCGCGUAGGCGGCGCUCCAAGUUAGGCGUGAAAUUCCCGGGCUCAACCUGGGGGCUGCGCUUAAGACUGGAGUGCUUGAGGAUGGAAGAGGGUUGUGGAAUUCCCAGUGUAGAGGUGAAAUUCGUAGAUAUUGGGAAGAACACCGGUGGCGAAGGCGGCAACCUGGUCCAUUACUGACGCUGAGGCGCGAUAGCGUGGGGAGCAAACAGGAUUAGAUACCCCGGUAGUCCCUGUCUCUUAUAC
rnacentral:rRNA from 1 species